GUAGGGCGGGACACGUGGUAUCCUGUCUGAAUAUGGGGGGACCAUCCUCCAAGGCUAAAUACUCCUGACUGACCGAUAGUGAACCAGUACCGUGAGGGAAAGGCGAAAAGAACCCCGGCGAGGGGAGUGAAAAAGAACCUGAAACCGUGUACGUACAAGCAGUGGGAGCACGCUUAGGCGUGUGACUGCGUACCUUUUGUAUAAUGGGUCAGCGACUUAUAUUCUGUAGCAAGGUUAACCGAAUAGGGGAGCCGAAGGGAAACCGAGUCUUAACUGGGCGUUAAGUUGCAGGGUAUAGACCCGAAACCCGGUGAUCUAGCCAUGGGCAGGUUGAAGGUUGGGUAACACUAACUGGAGGACCGAACCGACUAAUGUUGAAAAAUUAGCGGAUGACUUGUGGCUGGGGGUGAAAGGCCAAUCAAACCGGGAGAUAGCUGGUUCUCCCCGAAAGCUAUUUAGGUAGCGCCUCGUGAAUUCAUCUCCGGGGGUAGAGCACUGUUUCGGCAAGGGGGUCAUCCCGACUUACCAACCCGAUGCAAACUGCGAAUACCGGAGAAUGUUAUCACGGGAGACACACGGCGGGUGCUAACGUCCGUCGUGAAGAGGGAAACAACCCAGACCGCCAGCUAAGGUCCCAAAGUCAUGGUUAAGUGGGAAACGAUGUGGGAAGGCCCAGACAGCCAGGAUGUUGGCUUAGAAGCAGCCAUCAUUUAAAGAAAGCGUAAUAGCUCACUGGUCGAGUCGGCCUGCGCGGAAGAUGUAACGGGGCUAAACCAUGCACCGAAGCUGCGGCAGCGACGCUUAUGCGUUGUUGGGUAGGGGAGCGUUCUGUAAGCCUGUGAAGGUGUGCUGUGAGGUAUGCUGGAGGUAUCAGAAGUGCGAAUGCUGACAUAAGUAACGAUAAAGCGGGUGAAAAGCCCGCUCGCCGGAAGACCAAGGGUUCCUGUCCAACGUUAAUCGGGGCAGGGUGAGUCGACCCCUAAGGCGAGGCCGAAAGGCGUAGUCGAUGGGAAACAGGUUAAUAUUCCUGUACUUGGUGUUACUGCGAAGGGGGGACGGAGAAGGCUAUGUUGGCCGGGCGACGGUUGUCCCGGUUUAAGCGUGUAGGCUGGUUUUCCAGGCAAAUCCGGAAAAUCAAGGCCGAGGCGUGAUGACGAGGCACUACGGUGCUGAAGCAACAAAUGCCCUGCUUCCAGGAAAAGCCUCUAAGCAUCAGGUAACAUCAAAUCGUACCCCAAACCGACACAGGUGGUCAGGUAGAGAAUACCAAGGCGCUUGAGAGAACUCGGGUGAAGGAACUAGGCAAAAUGGUGCCGUAACUUCGGGAGAAGGCACGCUGAUACGUAGGUGAAGCGACUUGCUCGUGGAGCUGAAAUCAGUCGAAGAUACCAGCUGGCUGCAACUGUUUAUUAAAAACACAGCACUGUGCAAACACGAAAGUGGACGUAUACGGUGUGACGCCUGCCCGGUGCCGGAAGGUUAAUUGAUGGGGUUAGCGCAAGCGAAGCUCUUGAUCGAAGCCCCGGUAAACGGCGGCCGUAACUAUAACGGUCCUAAGGUAGCGAAAUUCCUUGUCGGGUAAGUUCCGACCUGCACGAAUGGCGUAAUGAUGGCCAGGCUGUCUCCACCCGAGACUCAGUGAAAUUGAACUCGCUGUGAAGAUGCAGUGUACCCGCGGCAAGACGGAAAGACCCCGUGAACCUUUACUAUAGCUUGACACUGAACAUUGAGCCUUGAUGUGUAGGAUAGGUGGGAGGCUUUGAAGUGUGGACGCCAGUCUGCAUGGAGCCGACCUUGAAAUACCACCCUUUAAUGUUUGAUGUUCUAACGUGGACCCGUGAUCCGGGUUGCGGACAGUGUCUGGUGGGUAGUUUGACUGGGGCGGUCUCCUCCUAAAGAGUAACGGAGGAGCACGAAGGUUGGCUAAUCCUGGUCGGACAUCAGGAGGUUAGUGCAAUGGCAUAAGCCAGCUUGACUGCGAGCGUGACGGCGCGAGCAGGUGCGAAAGCAGGUCAUAGUGAUCCGGUGGUUCUGAAUGGAAGGGCCAUCGCUCAACGGAUAAAAGGUACUCCGGGGAUAACAGGCUGAUACCGCCCAAGAGUUCAUAUCGACGGCGGUGUUUGGCACCUCGAUGUCGGCUCAUCACAUCCUGGGGCUGAAGUAGGUCCCAAGGGUAUGGCUGUUCGCCAUUUAAAGUGGUACGCGAGCUGGGUUUAGAACGUCGUGAGACAGUUCGGUCCCUAUCUGCCGUGGGCGCUGGAGAACUGAGGGGGGCUGCUCCUAGUACGAGAGGACCGGAGUGGACGCAUCACUGGUGUUCGGGUUGUCAUGCCAAUGGCACUGCCCGGUAGCUAAAUGCGGAAGAGAUAAGUGCUGAAAGCAUCUAAGCACGAAACUUGCCCCGAGAUGAGUUCUCCCUGACCCUUUAAGGGUCCUGAAGGAACGUUGAAGACGACGACGUUGAUAGGCCGGGUGUGUAAGCGCAGCGAUGCGUUGAGCUAACCGGUACUAAUGAACCGUGAGGCUUAACCUUACAACGCCGAAG
rnacentral:rRNA from 1 species